AUUGAACGCUGGCGGCAGGCUUAACACAUGCAAGUCGCGCGAGCGGCGGACGGGUGAGUAAUGUCUGGGAAACUGCCUGAUGGAGGGGGAUAACUACUGGAAACGGUAGCUAAUACCGCAUACCAUCAGAUGUGCCCAGAUGGGAUUAGAUAGUAGGUGGGGUAAUGGCUCACCUAGGCGACGAUCCCGAGCUGGUCUGCGAGUAUGACCAGCCACACUGGAACUGAGGCACGGUCAAGACUCCUACGGGAGGAAGCAGUGGGGAAUAGUGCAAAAUGGGCGCAAGCCUGAUACAGCCAUGCCUGGUGUGUGAAGAAGGCCUUCGGGUUGUAAAGCACUUUCAGCGAGGAGGCGUUACUCGCAGAAGAAGCACUGGCUAAGUCCGUGCCAGCAGCGGCGGUAAUAC
rnacentral:rRNA from 1 species